GUGAACGCUGGCGGUAGGCCUAACACAUGCAAGUCGAACGGCAGCACAGUAAGAGCUUGCUCUUACGGGUGGCGAGUGGCGGACGGGUGAGGAAUACAUCGGAAUCUACUUUUUCGUGGGGGAUAACGUAGGGAAACUUACGCUAAUACCGCAUACGACCUACGGGUGAAAGCAGGGGAUCUUCGGACCUUGCGCGAUUGAAUGAGCCGAUGUCGGAUUAGCUAGUUGGCGGGGUAAAGGCCCACCAAGGCGACGAUCCGUAGCUGGUCUGAGAGGAUGAUCAGCCACCCUGGAACUGAGACACGGUCCAGACUCCUACGGGAGGCAGCAGUGGGGAAUAUUGGACAAUGGGCGCAAGCCUGAUCCAGCCAUACCGCGUGGGUGAAGAAGGCCUUCGGGUUGUAAAGCCCUUUUGUUGGGAAAGAAAAGCAGCAGGUUAAUACCCCGCUGUUCUGACGGUACCCAAAGAAUAAGCACCGGCUAACUUCGUG
rnacentral:rRNA from 1 species